ACCAUCAGUACGUGACAGUCGACCACUAACCCUUGUUUCUUUUCUCUUAAAUCUACAUGUUAACCUCCCCCUCAACCCCCUAUAAAAGCAGCCCCGGACUCUGAGCCAGUUGCCUCUCUAAGCUACUUUGCUUUGGGAGUGCCGUCUGGCCAGACUAAUAAAGGUCUGUUUUACUUUCCAACUUGUCCGGUGUGUUCCCUCCCGGGUGUUCUUCGCUGCAGUCAGCUCCUCGGAGUGUUUGGAGAGGAGGACACCAGACUCCUGAUGCUCAUUUACACAGUAAGUCAAGGGAGCAUCAAGAAGUGUACAGAAGUAGUUGGGGCAACAGCAGCUCAGCAUGGAACUUCAAGAAACUGCAAAUUUUGGUAUAUUGAGUUCUUGCUUGCACAGACUAAAUAGAAGAUGUCAAGUUUGUUAUGUGUAAGUUUUGUUGUUUGGCCAAGAUUUAGGAGUCUCCUGCCGUGUGAUGUACAGAUCAUGGUGGACUGCUACACUGUGGUUCUCUGCCUUCAGCUACUGAAUGAGACAGUUUGAGUGGCAGAAUGGCUGGUUGUUGAAGGAACCAACCGAAGCUUGAAAGUGGAAAUUCAAUAAAGGAAGAAAAUAAAUCCUUUCUACAACCACAGAUCAGCCAAAGUCAAGGUUUUGUUGUUGUUUGUUUGUUUGUUGUUGUUUGUUGACAAGGUCUCACACUUUAGUUCAGUCAGUUCCGCACCGAGUUUGUCCGGCCCCUCCCCAGAGUGUGGAUAAAGGAGGGUUGGUCAGGAGGUUAUGACCCGCGCAGCUGGCUGGAGUUCGGAAGCACAUGGAACCCUUUUUCUCUCCAUGGCUGCUUACUGCCCAGAGAGGCCAAGCCCUGUCUCAAACUAGAGGCUUGC
rnacentral:lncRNA from 1 species